GGUGAUAAAUGCUAUUAUUGCAGCAAGGUUCAUGCCCUUGUGGUUGUAAGUUUUCUUUCUUUCACUU
rnacentral:tRNA from 1 species